ensembl:lncRNA
CUUUCUCGUAUUCGUCAUCCUUUCCUAUCAAAAUGCUUGCUAAGGAAUGUGAAAACUCAGAAAAUCGAACCUGGUCCGAAUUUCCGAACGUGAUUGACACAAAGUGACAAUUUUUUUUUUUACGUGCAAAAAUGUCGGGGACUCAGUGUGCCCUUAACAGUACUUUUAAGAUCCAAAACAAACAACAAAUGCUUCUGUGUAAUAACAUUUAUACACUAAAUUGUGUAAAAUGCACUUUGUAGCUAAAUUUAUCCACUAAAUUGUGUAAGUGUAGGCUGCAUCAUUUGAGCUGCUACUUAAACUCCUGGACACCCCUAAGCUAUACCACAACUUUAUUUUUUUAGAAACAAGCCAAAAUUUAAAGCAAUUCUAUGUCGCUUUGUGUAGUUUUACGACUUUGGAGCCCCUACAGUUGGAAUUGGCUGUUGUAAAUAUUUCACUGUCAUAAACACACGUGCAUUCGCUGUCGCGGUAAAGUAAUCCGCCCUUUCGCGAAAUUUCGAACCCGCUCACCAAAUUUACAUUCUCUCAGAACAAACAUUUGGAGGGGAUUGUGGGAAUGAAACGGAAGCCAUUCAACUAGAACUCAGAGUACUAGCAGAAUAAUUUUCAAACUGAUAUUUUUUUAAGUAGCCUAAACAAAACAAAACAACAUACAGUUGCUUUAAGUCAUUAUUCAUUAAAAACAUUUCCCUAACAUUAUUCUCAUCCCGGCUGCACCAUGAUUUGAAAUAGAGAACAAAUUAAGAACAUGUCGGUGAGUAGAUGGUUUCUUUUUGGCUCAAGUCUUUAUGGUAAUUAUAUGAGAGUGAUGUUCUUUGUUUGCUAUUACCCUAAGAAGUGUCUCUUUAAAUCCUGACACAGGCGUAAACAGGCCGCCAGACUGAACUGAUGCUGAUUCUAGAAUGAUGCAGUCUGAGAGGGACAAGACAACACACACAGAACACCCAGAAACAUGUCGAAAACUGGCCUCUACAGCAGAACGCUGGCUUAAAGGCGUCAUUGCAGCAGACAGUUGUGUGUGAGAAAGUGUAGAGGAAAAAAAGCAUCUUGGUGCAGAGUGAACUGUAAAAAUACAAUCUUAACUGCAUUUCAUUUAGAAAUCCUCUAGUAGGUUGAUUAAAGGGAUAUUAUACCCAAAAUCCCAGAUGUAUAUGACUUUAUUUCCUCAUGAACACAAAUAAAGAUAAAAGGGAAAAAAGUUGGUGAAAAAUCUCAUUUAUACUAAUUGAUCACCAACUUUUUAAAAAUGUUUUAUAGCUCAACUGUCACGGAAUGGAAUGCACUUGAUUGUGGCAUAUCAAACGCAGCAAAGGAUGUAUCAAUGCUACCUUUAAAAGUCAGAUGAAGGCAUCUCAGAUGACAGUAAGUGAAGAUAACACUGCUUUGAUUCCUUCCUACCUUGGAAUUCAUCCUCCAAAGGCAGCAUUUUUCAGCUUUCAGACGCAUCCAGUGUCGCUUCUCGCACACUUACGUCAUGCUUCACAACACUGAAAUUGCAUUUCACAAAGCUCCCAUUAACCUGUAUCUGACCAUUAGCAAUGGUUAAAAAUCUUUCUUUGUGUUCACCCGAAGAAGGUAAGUCAUAUACAUCUGAAAUGGCAUGAAUUUUUAUUUUUUGGGAUGAGUAGCCCUUUAAAUGGGGGUGGGGAACAAAAACCCAAAUAUGAUGUCCUUAUUUUUUUUUUUUUUACUAAUCCUGCUUUUAUGGAGGACAGCUGGGAUUAUGGGUGCACACAAGCCCUAAAGGCGUCCCUGGUGGAGCUACAUUUAUCAGAGAAUUGCAGUGUGCUUUAAAACCUGCCCUUAUUCUAAUAGUAUCAGCAUUACGGUCCACACACUUUCCUGAGGCUCUCAUCUGUGGCCGCCCUUGACCCUGCACUUAGUACUGUUUUCCCAUGAUGCUUUAAUGCAAUUUAGAACAACUGAUACAGCCAAAACAGCAACCGGGCCAGAAAGUCCCUGCACAAGCCAGGCGACUAUACAUUCAAUGGACUAGCUGCAAUUAAAUUGAUAAUCUAAUGCCUGUGACCCACACUGACACAACUAAUCAGAGGAGUCAGUUAUAUUUGAAUAACUAGAGGUCAAUGGUCUGUUGCUUUACAGAUUUAUCAACUAAUGUAAAAUGUGCAUUUGAUUGUGCCCCACAGGGCCAUAGAGUGAGUGUGGGCUGAGCCCUGUGCCUCAUUUAAGUUGUAAUAGAUUAGUGACCAUAUGUCUCAUCAGGAGGCCACACACACUCACACAGAUGGCAG